rnacentral:rRNA from 1 species
GACGAACGCUGGCGGCGUGCUUAACACAUGCAAGUCGAACGGUGAAGGGACCGGUUUUUGCUGGUUCUGGAUGAGUGGCGAACGGGUGAGUAACACGUGAGUAACCUGCCCCCUUCUUCUGGAUAACCGCAUGAAAGUGUGGCUAAUACGGGAUAUUCUGCGCCUGCUGCAUGGUGGGUGUGGGAAAGAUAUUGUUUCGGUGGGGGAUGGGCUCGCGGCCUAUCAGCUUGUUGGUGGGGUGAUGGCCUACCAAGGCGGUGACGGGUAGCCGGCCUGAGAGGGUGGACGGUCACACUGGGACUGAGACACGGCCCAGACUCCUACGGGAGGCAGCAGUGGGGAAUAUUGCACAAUGGGCGCAAGCCUGAUGCAGCGACGCCGCGUGAGGGAUGGAGGCCUUCGGGUUGUAAACCUCUUUCGCCAUUGAAGCAGGCCUGUCCCUUUUGUGGGUGGGUUGACGGUAGCUGGAUAAGAAGCGCCGGCUAACUACGUG